UGGGGAAUAUUGCACAAUGGGCGAAAGCCUGAUGCAGCAACGCCGCGUGAGUGAUGAAGGUUUUCGGAUUGUAAAGCUCUGUCUUUUGGGACGAUAAUGACGGUACCAAAGGAGGAAGCCACGGCUAACUACGUGCCAGCAGCCGCGGUAAUACGUAGGUGGCGAGCGUUGUCCGGAUUUACUGGGCGUAAAGGGUGCGUAGGCGGAUGUUUAAGUGAGAUGUGAAAUACCCGGGCUUAACUUGGGUGCUGCAUUUCAAACUGGAUAUCUAGAGUGCAGGAGAGGAGAAUGGAAUUCCUAGUGUAGCGGUGAAAUGCGUAGAGAUUAGGAAGAACACCAGUGGCGAAGGCGAUUCUCUGGACUGUAACUGACGCUGAGGCACGAAAGCGUGGGUAGCAAACAGGAUUAGAUACCCUGGUAGUCCACGCCGUAAAACGAUGAGUACUAGGUGUAGGAGGUAUCGACCCCUUCUGUGCCGCAGUAAAACACAUUAAGUACUCCGCCUGGGAAGUACGAUCGCAAGAUUAAAACUCUAAAGUGAAUUGAC
rnacentral:rRNA from 1 species